GACGAACCGAGCGAACGUUGUUCGGAAUCACUGGGCUUAAAGGGCGCGUAGGCGGUCUUGCAAGUCCUGUGUGAAAUCCCUCGGCUCAACUGAGGAACUGCACAGGAAACUGCUUGGCUUGAGUUCGGGAGAGGGAAGCGGAAUUCCGGGUGUAGCGGUGAAAUGCGUAGAUAUCCGGAGGAACACCGGUGGCGAAGGCGGCUUCCUGGACCGACACUGACGCUGAGGCACGAAAGCUAGGGGAGCAAACGGG
rnacentral:rRNA from 1 species